rnacentral:rRNA from 1 species
CAUCGAUGAAGAACGCAGCGAAAUGCGAUAAGUAAUGUGAAUUACAGAAUUCAGUGAAUCAUCGAAUCUUUGAACGCAUCUUGCGCUCCUUGGUAUUCCGAGGAGCAUGCCUGUUUGAGUGUCAU